CCCAAAAUUGAAACGACUCCACUUUUACCACAUGUCGAAUUGGGAAGAGUGGGAAGGCGUGGAAGAGUGGACCAAAGAAGAUUCUGAAAUUACAAUCAUGCCAUGCCUUUCUGAGUUAAGAAUUGGCGACUGCGAAUUGCUAAAAGCACUGCCAGACUUCAUCUUCAAAACACCACUGCGGACUCUUGACAUCACCAAAUGUCGGAGACUUGCAGAGCAUUACGAAGAAGGCAGUGGAGAGCGGGCCAAGAUUUCUGCUAAGAUCCCAAACAUCCGCAUUUCCUCCGGGUAAUUGAACUCCAACAAUGAUCUUGAGAUGGUGACUCGCUAAAACUGGACCCUAUUGAAGCAAUUAGAGUGAUGUAAAUCAUCAAGUGUCAGCCUACGGAAGUUCCAAUAACAGAAAUUUUGAUUAUUUUCAUCACUGCCUUGACAGAGACAUGGUGAAUUUGGAAGGUCCACUGAGCUUGAUGAUUGCCCUGAUUUUUUUGUUUUGUAAGCACCUUAUAUUUAACUAAUCUACUGGUGUAUUGAUCAUUUGCAAAACUCCCUUUGUGUCAUUAAUUUGUAAAAUGUACUCUUGAGGAACUGGUGAAUUUGGGUUUGGCUUUCUCUUAUUUUAUUGUGUAUCA